GCCGGCCCAGCUAGAACCAGAGUACGCGAUCGGAUUUGGGGGUUCUCUCCUUCGUCCUCCAUGACUCCAUGGGCGCCGAUCGUGAAGAAACGGAUACUGUAACGGAUCUGUUGCUUGCGCAUCGUAAUUACUCCGUGUGACUUAAAUUCGAGACUUCAAUGCGGUCUCUUCGGUUGCGCUGAUCAAGCGUUGGUGUGUGCUAUAAAAGGUCCCUAUCUCACUCUUUUGUUUUUUUCCUUCACCUCUUAAUCUCUCUGAUACCUGUCAUCGCUAAUUCACAAUCUUCAUCCUCUUCUCGACUAAUGGCUAUGACGAAAGUUUUCUUCUCGGAUUUGAAAUCCGGCCGGUGCUCCGCCGUCGUUGAGGCGCGGCUGCUUCGGUACUGGGAAGCAAGAAACAUGAAACGUGGCGGCGAGCUCAUGUGGGCUGACCUCCUUUUGGUGGACGUCAACGUAAGUUAAUUCCAUCCGAUUUGUUUUACUAUUUGAUUUGUGGUUUGAGUGUUGCAGUUUUUUUGUUUUUUUUUCCCGUUUGGAUGUUGUCUCGAUUGACUAAUUAGGUAUUUUAUUGUUGGGGUUGUGUUUAUGUUGAACUGGCCGUAAAACUGAAUUUAGUUACUUUGGUUUUGGGUGUGUUGUUAUAUUUCCGUACUAUGAUUGUCUGGUUAUUCUUUCCUAUGCUGUUCUCUUGAAAUCAUCCUGACGUAUACAAACAUAUCCUUCCUCCGACAAUGGUACGUCAAAACCCGCUUCACGGUUCUGAUCCUGAUUCUGCAACCACCAAGGAGAAUUUCGAAGCCUGCUUCGGCAUCUGUAGAGGCAGUGCCGGUUAAAUCUCCAACGGAAAGCUCUUCCGCAUCUGAUACUAGAGAAUUUAGGCUAGGAUGAUGCAAUCGAAAGCAAGAGAUCAAGCAUACCAUAGAAAACAAGCUUCACCGGAAUGCGGGGUCCAGAAGAUCUAAUUGCAACAUAAGAAAUGGAAUCACUGAGAAUCCAGGAAAAUACAGUGGAGACUUUGUGUAGCAGUUCAAAAUAUUCCAUAAUGAGCUUAAGGAUUUCUUGAAUGCUGGAAGCGCCUUGACGCAACAGGAGAAUCAACCAAUGUUUUGGAGUUGAUUAAAACUAUGCAUUCUCUGGCUUCUCUAAGAGAAACAAUUGUUAAGUAACUCAAUAGUGGCUUAAGAAAUGAUGUUCCUGAUACUGCCAUUGCAAUGCGCCAGAAGAUUCCUCAACGCUCUUGAAACUAUGGGAGGAGCUGUUCAACUGGCGAAAGAUGUGGAAUCAUAAAAUGUUUCCUCCUGAAAUGAUCCUCUAGAUGCUUUGGUCUUGGGUGUUCAUCAAGUAGGUCUAUUGGGUUGGAAGCAGGAAGAAUGUUUAGCCAUUGGAAAUGAACUACUACCGUGGCGAGAGAGACCUACUUGAAACAGAAGGGGAAGAGAAUGGAAAAACAUACACUUGGUUCUGAGGGAUGGGACGUUAUUGUACCUGGAUCCACUUCUGGGCCAUUAGUUCUGAAGGAGCAAGCAAGUCAGAUUCUGCGGGAAGAAAGGUCUAUAGGUCAUAGAUGAUCUGAUCGAUAUGGAAGUCAUGAAAAGAAGAGAAAAGAAUCUGACGAAGGAAACAAGAAGAAGCCAUGAAAAGGUGGGAGAUUUGCUUUUUUAUAGGCAAAGUGAGCAACUUUGACUAAAAGCCAACCAAACACAUCGCUGUUCAGAUGUGUAUUCUCAAACUUGAACCAAACCGGUUGGUGAGAUAGAUAAACGUGUUAUUGUAUUGUGAGUAAUACUUUUGCUAAUUUUUAAUAUUGUUGGGCUUUGUACUUUAUAGAAAAUUUUUAAUUUUUUUUUAUAAUAAUUAGAAAAUAUGAUUUCUAAAAUGAA